rnacentral:rRNA from 1 species
UAAGCGGAGGAAAAGAAACUAACANGGAUUCCCCCUAGUAACUGCGAGUGAAGCGGGAAAAGCUCAAAUUUAAAAUCUGGUGGUCUUUGGCCAUCCGAGUUGUAAUUUAGAGAAGCGUCUUCCGCGCUGGACCGUGCACAAGUCUCCUGGAAUGGAGCGUCAUAGAGGGUGAGAAUCCCGUCUUUGGCAUGGACACACCAGGGCUUUUGUGAUGCGCUCUCGAAGAGUCGAGUUGUUUGGGAAUGCAGCUCAAAAUGGGUGGUGAACUCCAUCUAAAGCUAAAUAUUGGCGAGAGACCGAUAGCGAACAAGUACCGUGAGGGAAAGAUGAAAAGCACUUUGGAAAGAGAGUGAAACAGUACGUGAAAUUGUUGAAAGGGAAACGCUUGAAGUCAGUCACGUCGACCGAGACUCAGCCUUGCCUCGGCUUGGUGUACUUCUCGGCUGACGGGUCAGCAUCAAUUUUGCCCCUUGGAUAAUGGCGAGGGAAAUGUGACACCUUUAUGGUGUGUUAUAGUCUCUCGUCGCAUGCAAGGGUUGGGAUUGAGGAACUCAGCACGCGCCCUUUGGGUGUCGGGGCUUUGCCCACGAUACGUGCUUAGGAUGUUGGCAUAAUGGCUUUAAACGACC